UGAUAUUCCAUCUACCUUCAUGUUGUAGCAUGAUUGAAUGUAAUUAUCACCCUCCAUGUUUUUACACAAUUGAUCCGUUGUUUUUAAUUUUUUUUCCUUUGAAUAAUCGCAAUUUCAAUUAAAAUACUUUAGUCAGUAUUUUAAUCUAAUUCAACGCCUUAAAUAUCACCCUUAAUUAAGAUAUUUUGUGUUUCAAUUAGUAUAUUUUGUUGAUUUGUUGAAG
rnacentral:lncRNA from 1 species